ACGACACUCCGGAGAAGCCCGGCAGCGUUUGUCGGGUGCCGAAGGUGCAAGCGCUGUAUCAGCGUCAAUCUCUCAGGCAAAAGGACGGAGGAA
rnacentral:ncRNA from 1 species